UGGGGAAUAUUGGACAAUGGGCGCAAGCCUGAUCCAGCCAUGCCGCGUGGAUGAUGAAGGCCCUAGGGUUGUAAAGUCCUUUUAACGGGGAAGAUAAUGACGGUACCCGUAGAAUAAGCCCCGGCUAACUUCGUGCCAGCAGCCGCGGUAAUACGAAGGGGGCUAGCGUUGCUCGGAAUUACUGGGCGUAAAGCGCACGUAGGCGGUCUUUUAAGUCGGGGGUGAAAUCCUGGAGCUCAACUCCAGAACUGCCUUCGAUACUGGAAGACUUGAGUCCGGGAGAGGUGAGUGGAACUGCGAGUGUAGAGGUGAAAUUCGUAGAUAUUCGCAAGAACACCAGUGGCGAAGGCGGCUCACUGGCCCGGUACUGACGCUGAGGUGCGAAAGCGUGGGGAGCAAACA
rnacentral:rRNA from 2 species